CAGCAACUCAAGAGGACUGCUCAAGGUUGGAGUGGCCGUAGCCAUGGAAAGAACCCAAAAGCAUGGAAAGAACCAAAAAGCACUGUGCGUUGUUUUCAUCGAAGUCACGCGGCAAUUUCAUUAAAUCAAAAGAAAUAACUCAAAGGAAGAAGAGAUGGAAUUGCCAGGUUGCCCACUUGUGUGCUGUGACAUCCCCCAGCCUGUUCCAUGAAGCCCAUACAACACGACUUCACCAGAGCCCAGGGAAGGAAACACGGCACUUGAGAUGUGGCAUAAGCACUGGCCAGGGUGGCUUGGGCUGUUCCUCUGCAUGCUUCACAGCUGCAGGAGUGCACAGAAGAGUUCUGCUUCAGGACUUUUCAGUGAAUUGACAUCUUCGUAGCUGCAGAACUGUUAUGGCCCUCCAAGGUGGCUCUCCAGUAAAAAGCGCUUGCACGUGGCCCUCGUUGUUUUCCCAACAUCAUCCUGUUGCGAAGCAUCAAAGCGCAGUUGAUCCUGGUGCUGAAAACACAGCCACACAGCUCUGCAAAGGGAGAUGUAUUUCAAAAUAAUGCAAAAGGACUCACACCUGUGAUCUCUGUGUUCCAGCGGCCCGUGCUGCUGACCCCUCUGGUCACCGAAGCCUUCUCUGUGCACUUGCAGAUGAC
ensembl:lncRNA